GACUUACUUUACUUCAUAGAGCUCUUGUCGGUUUACCGAUCUAUUUUAUUUUUUGUUCACCAUCCCAAGAAUUGUUAGGUUGAGAUUAGAGAAGAUGCAAAGGGAUUUUCUUUGGGGAGGAGGGGCAUUAGAGAACAAAAUGCACUAAGGUGGUGUUUGUUUUUUGGCCGAAUAGAAAAAGCCAAAUUAUUUGGCUUUUUCUAUUCAGCUAAAAGUAACUCAUUGACAUCAACCAACAUAAUUAGACUAAACUUAUUGAUAUCAAGUUCACUUUAAUUAUGCUGGUUAAUAUCAACAAGGUACUUUUAGCUAAAUAGAAAAAGCCAAAUGUUUUGGCUUUUUCUAUUCAGCCAAAAAACAAACACCACCUAAGUCAAGUGGUUUUUUGUUUGUAAAGCAAAAUUGAAAAGAGGACUAGGUGUUCGUUCUCUUUCUUUGCGUAAUAAGGCCUUUCUUUGCAAAUGGUGUUGGUGUUUCUCUAGUGAAAGAGAUUCAUUGUGGAAGAAAAUCAUAAAAGGAAAGUUUGGGGAGGAAGAGGAGGGUUGGAGGUUAGGAGUGGUCAGAAAGCCCUAUGAGGCUGGGGUUUGGAAAGAAAUUGGAAAGUAGUGAGAGUUUUUUAAUAGAAAGAUUUCCUUCAAAGUGAGUAAUGGGAGUAGAGUGAAUGUCUGGAAAGAUAGAUGGUGCAGUGAGCAACCUUUAUAUGAGAUUUUCUCUUCCUUGUUUGCCCUUUUCUGAUUCAAAGGAGGCAUGAGUAGCUAAUUUUUGGGAGCAAAGUGGGG
rnacentral:lncRNA from 1 species